ACAACUUCACAUGCGCCGGACAUCGCGCACUGAUGCCGCCUUCCUUGACGUUGGAGAACUUGGCUUGUGAUCUGCCUCGAGUUCUGAGGAGGUGUGCGGUGCUGCCGCCCUGACGUUUCCACCUGGCCAAAUGCCUUCCGUCCACGGACCCCGGCAUCCGGCUGUCUGCAAAGCUGGUGCUGGCUCAGCUGCGGACUGACCUCGGGGUCCGGCUGUCAACUUCUGGGGAUUGUAGUUCAUGUGGAGCCGGCUUCCCGAAUCCCGACGGACCCGCAGCUCGAUUCGAUCGUGGCGCAAUGCGCAGCCGUAGGGCCGGCGCUGUGUACGUGCGUGGAGUGCGCAGGCGCAGUGACGGCCGAGCUGCCGUUCUGUGUGUAUGCGCAGGAGCUGCGACGGCUGGCCGAACCGCCGUUCCCGUUUGUGCGCGCAGCAAUGUCAAUAUGUGAGGAGGAGAUGGAGCCGGGCGGAUUCUCAAUCACCGACAGCCACAGCAGCUCGGCCGAAAACAGUGAGCUGGAAUCCAGUCUGGAGGAAGACGACGGGAGUUCUGAGGGAACGGUGCGACGGGCUGAGCAGAGUAUUUGCCUGGCUGACGUGAAUCCCUACAUCCUAUGUCCCAUCUGCGGGGGCUACUUCAUUGAUGCCACUACUAUCACUGAGUGCCUGCACACCUUCUGUAAGAGCUGCAUCGUGAAGCAUUUUGACAACAGCAACCGCUGUCCAAAGUGCAACAUUAUUGUUCACCAGACACAGCCGCUGUACAACAUCAGGCUGGACAGAAAAUUGCAAGACAUUGUUUACAAGCUGGUGCCCAACCUGGAGAGCAGUGAGAAAAGACGACUACAUGAAUUCUACAGAGAGAGAGGGCUUGAGGUCCCUAAGCCAGUUGUCCAGGUACCUGGUAACAGUAAAGUGCGCCGUAUCCGAUCGCUGAGUAAAAAGCUGUCGCUGUGUGUGGCUCCACCAGGGGACCCUCUGCCUCAUCUUGACAUCUGUUUGGUGCUUGAGUUCAUUGGGGCUGAUCUUGGAAUUGGUGAAUACAAGCCGCUGCAGAAGAAGUAUGUCCGAGUGUCAGAGGAGGCAACAAUCCGACAUGUAGAAAAGUUUAUCCGAAUGAAGCUGGAAUUGGACCCCAUCUAUCGGACAUCAUCUGUGGAAACAAGAUCCUAGAACAUCACCAGACCCUGAGACACAUUCGAAGGAGCGUCACCCACAGUGGCAUUCGGGAUGGGCUGCUUAUCCUGCACUAUGGACUUGUGCAUACCCAGAAGUGAAGCUGGCUGUCCCCCUGUUGUCUGACCACAGUGGUGAUUGGUUUCUGAGGACAUUUUCACAAUCACCAUUGACAAUCAGGUGGUUUCUGUGACGGAAGGUUGUGCUCAGUUAAGAGUCAAGGAUUUGGAGAUGAUUGUAGUCCAGUGUCUAUCCAGGGACCCGAGAUUGAUCCUGUGCAAGUUCAGGACAAUGUGGUAGCCCUCAGGUGGAUCUUUAUUAGCUGGGAAGUGGGUGACUGGCAUUGGGUGAAGGGUCUCUGGUUUUGUUGGAUCCUGUCCCAGACGGUACAGCUGUCUCCACGCAUCAUGUCCAGCUUGCAUUAAGUUGUAAGUAACAUUUGUAUUUGACACUCAUGCAUACUGAGCUAGCUUUAACAACAAAUUGCACUUGCACACCCUGGCACUGAGCACUCAGCCAACAGUGAGGUGUCCCACCCUGGGACUGCCCACUGACCAGAUAGGUAUGUGUCCCAGAGUGGGACUGACUAGUCUGGAGUGUGUCUUACCCUGGACCACUGGCUAAUCAGACAAUCAGGUGUCGCACCCUGGGACUGACCAGUGUCCAGACAAUGAGGGGUCCCACCCUGGGACUGACCAGUGUCCAGACAUUGAGGUGUCCCACUCUGGAACUGACCAGUGUCCAGACAAUGAGGUGUCUCACCCUGGGACUGACCAGUGUGCAGACAAUGAGGUGUCCCACCCUGGGACUGACCAGUGUCCAGACAAUGAAGUGACCCACCCUGGGACUGACCAUAGGGGUGGUGGUUGUUCACUGUGGCAAGUGUCAAUACUUAAUAUUUGCCUUAUAUCCUUGAAUGACAUUUUGCUUUUUAUCCUUGAAUGUUCAGCAGACUUUUAAAAUAUUUUUCUCCAGUUUGUAAAAUUCUUUGCUAAUUAAUAAAAUCUGGGAUGAAAUAGUUUGCUAUACAAAAUCUGAAGGUUACUUUAUAUUGAAGUAAUGUUUUUAAUGUAUUCAGUUAGAUGUGAGUGCCCAAUGUCCAUUCAGACACUCCCAAGUCAGGGACAGCAUGUCAGGAUAAUAUGGGUUGGAUACAAAAUUAACCUCUGCCCUGUGCCAUCGUGCACCUGCAGACGUGUGUAAAAGGCUGAGUUCUGAAACCAGUGUAACACAGUGGUGUGCAAUGGGUAUCCCCAAGCUACUCAGUGCACAGACAGUUAUUGACAGGCUCAAGUUCACCUGUAGUCUCACCUCUGAAAUUAUGAAA